rnacentral:rRNA from 1 species
UCGAGCGGUAACAGAAAGUAGCUUGCUACUUUGCUGACGAGCGGUCGGACGGGUGAGUAUGCUUGGGGAACAUGCCUUGAGGUGGGGGACAACAGUUGGUAAACGACUGCUAAUACCGCAUAAUGUCUACGGACCAAAGGGGGCUUCGGCUCUCGCCUUUAGAUUGGCCCAAGUGGGAUGAGCUAGUUGGUGAGGUAAUGGCUCACCAAGGCAACGAUCCCUAGCUGGUUUGAGAGGAUGAUGAGCCACACUGGAACUGAGACACGGUCCAGACUCCUACGGGAGGCAGCAGUGGGGAAUAUUGCACAAUGGGCGAAAGCCUGAUGCAGCCAUGCCGCGUGUGUGAAGAAGGCCUUCGGGUUGUAAAGCACUUUCAGUCAGGAGGAAAGGGUGUGAGUUAAUACCUCACAUCUGUGACGUUACUGACAGAAGAAGCACCGGCUAACUCCGUGCCAGCAGCCGCGGUAAUACGGAGGGUGCGAGCGUUAAUCGGAAUUACUGGGCGUAAAGCGUACGCAGGCGGUUUGUUAAGCGAGAUGUGAAAGCCCCGGGCUCAACCUGGGAACUG